rnacentral:rRNA from 1 species
GACGAACGCUGGCGGCGUGCCUAAUACAUGCAAGUAGGACGCACAGUCCAUACCGUAGCUUGCUACACCAUAGGCUGUGAGUUGCGAACGGGUGAGUAACGCGUAGGUAACCUGCCUAUUAGAGGGGGAUAACUAUUGGAAACGAUAGCUAAUACCGCAUAACAGUAUGUAACACAUGUUAGAUGCUUGAAAGAUGCAAUUGCAUCGCUAGUAGAUGGACCUGCGUUGUAUUAGCUAGUAGGUAGGGUAAUGGCCUACCUAGGCGACGAUACAUAGCCGACCUGAGAGGGUGAUCGGCCACACUGGGACUGAGACACGGCCCAGACUCCUACGGGAGGCAGCAGUAGGGAAUCUUCGGCAAUGGGGGGAACCCUGACCGAGCAACGCCGCGUGAGUGAAGAAGGUUGUCGGAUCGUAAAGCUCUGUUGUUAAGGAAGAACGAGUGUGAGAAUGGAAAGUUCAUACUGUGACGGUACUUAACCAGAAAGGGACGGCUAACUACGUG